AGCUAUAUUCGAUUGAAAUCAGCCGAUUGUUGGACGAUCGCCUUUCUUAUCGUUCCCAAUCUUCACCUAAUGGAUAUUGUACGAGUUGUAGGCAUCGCGUGUCUACCACUAGAAAGGGGAAUUUAUAUUUAUUGUCGAUAUGUCUUGUAAUUUUCUUUACAUUAAUUAUAAAUUAAUGCAAGUAAAUUGAUAUUGAACUUCUCACGGUAAGAAAGUAAUUGUACGAGUAAAGACACACUGCAUUACCUUUGAUUUUAAGCAUCCAAAACCGUGAAAUCAUUGGUCAGUGAUUUUCAUUGGGGCAACAAUUUUUACUGAACCGGAAGUAACACGCAAGAAUUGUGCUUCCGGUGUUUUUGAACCGCUGAACUUUUCAAAUGAUUUCCAAGUGCCGACCAGUGGCUAAAGAGACAAGGAAGUGGAGAGUGGAACAUCAACCACGAGAACAAAGGGUAACUUUCACGCAGGCAUUGGUCGUUGGCAUCAUAGAAUUUAGAGUAAUGAAAGCACGACGACGUUAAGCGAUUCUUAG